CUCGGAAUCACUGGGCGUAAAGCGCACGUAGGCGGCUUCUUAAGUCAGGGGUGAAAUCCUGGAGCUCAACUCCAGAACUGCCUUUGAUACUGAGGAGCUUGAGUCCGGGAGAGGUGAGUGGAACUGCGAGUGUAGAGGUGAAAUUCGUAGAUAUUCGCAAGAACACCAGUGGCGAAGGCGGCGAUCUGGGUCGAUACUGACGCUGAGGUGCGAAAGCGUGGGGAGCAAACAGG
rnacentral:rRNA from 1 species